GAUGAACGCUGGCGGCGUGCCUAAUACAUGCAAGUCGAGCGAACAGAUAAGGAGCUUGCUCCUUUGACGUUAGCGGCGGACGGGUGAGUUACACGUGGAUAACCUACCUAUAAGACUGGGAUAACUUCGGGAAACCGGAGCUAAUACCGGAUAACAUAUUGAACCGCAUGGUUCAAUAGUGAAAGGCGGCUUUGCUGUCACUUAUAGAUGGAUCCGCGCCGUAUUAGCUAGUUGGUAAGGUAACGGCUUACCAAGGCAACGAUACGUAGCCGACCUGAGAGGGUGAUCGGCCACACUGGAACUGAGACACGGUCCAGACGCCUACGGGAGGCAGCAGUAGGGAAUCUUCCGCAAUGGGCGAAAGCCUGACGGAGCAACGCCGCGUGAGUGAUGAAGGUCUUCGGAUCGUAAAACUCUGUUAUCAGGGAAGAACAAAUGUGUAAGUAACUGUGCACAUCUUGACGGUACCUGAUCAGAAAGCCACGGCUAACUACGUG
rnacentral:rRNA from 1 species